UAAGGAGCUUGCUCCUUUGACGUUAGCGGCGGACGGGUGAGUAACACGUGGGUAACCUACCUAUAAGACUGGAAUAACUCCGGGAAACCGGGGCUAAUGCCGGAUAACAUAUAGAACCGCAUGGUUCUAUAGUGAAAGAUGGUUUUGCUAUCACUUAUAGAUGGACCCGCGCCGUAUUAGCUAGUUGGUAAGGUAAUGGCUUACCAAGGCGACGAUACGUAGCCGACCUGAGAGGGUGAUCGGCCACGCUGGAACUGAGACACGGUCCAGACUCCUACGGGAGGCAACAGUAGGGAAUCUUCCGCAAUGGGCGAAAGCCUGACGGAGCAACGCCGCGUGAGUGAUGAAGGGUUUCGGCUCGUAAAACUCUGUUAUUAGGGAAGAACAUAUGUGUAAGUAACUGUGCACAUCUUGACGGUACCUAAUCAGAAAGCCACGGCUAACUACGUGCCAGCAGCCGCGGUAAUACGUAGGUGGCAAGCGUUAUCCGGAAUUAUUGGGCGUAAAGCGCGCGUAGGCGGUUUCUUAAGUCUGAUGUGAAAGCCCACGGCUCAACCGUGGAGGGUCAUUGGAAACUGGGAAACUUGAGUGCAGAAGAGGAAAGUGGAAUUCCAUGUGUAGCGGUGAAAUGCGCAGAGAUAUGGAGGAACACCAGUGGCGAAGGCGACUUUCUGGUCUGUAACUGACGCUGAUGUGCGAAAGCGUGGGGAUCAAACAGGAUUAGAUACCCUGGUAGUCCACGCCGUAACGAUGAGUGCUAAGUGUUAUGGGGUUUCCGCCCCUUAGUGCUGCAGCUAACGCAUUAAGCACUCCGCCUGGGGAGUACGACCGCACGUUGAAACUCAAGGAAUUGACGGGGACCCGCACAAGCGGUGGAGCAUGUGGUUUAAUUCUAAGCAACGCGAGAACCUUACCAAAUCUUGACAUCCUUUGACCACUCUA
rnacentral:rRNA from 1 species